UUCCUGGGAAGAGGCCUGAUGGCUGG
rnacentral:piRNA from 1 species